rnacentral:rRNA from 1 species
GCAUCUUUUUAUUUUUAAAAGACCUAGCAAUAGGUAUGCUUAGGGAAGAGCUUGCGUCACAUUAGUUAGUUGGUGGGGUAAUGGCCUACCAAGACGAUGAUGUGUAGCCGGGCUGAGAGGUCGAACGGCCACAUUGGGACUGAGACACGGCCCAAACUCCUACGGGAGGCAGCAGUAAGGAAUUUUCGGCAAUGGAGGAAACUCUGACCGAGCAAUGCCGCGUGAACGAUGAAGUAUUUCGGUACGUAAAGUUCUUUUAUUAGGGAAGAAAAGAUGGUGGAAAAACCAUUAUGACGGUACCUAAUGAAUAAGCCCCGGCUAACUAUGUGCCAGCAGCCGCGGUAAUACAUAGGGGGCAAGCGUUAUCCGGAAUUAUUGGGCGUAAAGGGUGCGUAGGCGGUUAAAUAAGUUUAUGGUCUAAGUGCAACGCUCAACGUUGUGAUGCUAUAAAAACUGUUUAGCUAGAGUUGGAUAGAGGCAAGUGGAAUUCCGUGUGUAGUGGUAAAAUGCGUAAAUAUACGGAGGAACACCAGAAGCGAAGGCGGCUUGCUGGGUCGUAACYGACGMUGAGGCACGAAAGCGUGGGGAGCAAACAGGAUUAGAUACCCUGGUAGUCCACGCCCUAAACGAUGAGUACUAAACGUUGGAUAGAACCAGUGUUGAAGUUAACACAUUAAGUACUCCGCCUGAGUAGUACGUACGCAAGUAUGAAACUUAAAGGAAUUGACGGGACUCCGCACAAGCGGUGGAUCAUGUUGUUUAAUUCGAAGGUACCCGAAAAACCUCACCAGGUCUUGACAUGCUUUUGCAAAGCUGUAGAAAUACAGUGGAGGUUAUCAGAAGCACAGGUGGUGCAUGGUUGUCGUCAGCUCGUGUCGUGAGAUGUUGGGUUAAGUCCCGCAACGAGCGCAACCCUUGUUGUUAAUUGCCAUCAUUAAGUUGGGGACUUUAGCAAGACUGCCAAUGAUAAAUUGGAGGAAGGUGGGGACGACGUCAAAUCAUCAUGCCCCUUAUGACCUGGGCUACAAACGUGAUACAAUGGCUGUUACAAAGGGUAGCUAAAGCGUAAGCUUCUGGCGAAUCUCAAAAAAGCAGUCUCAGUUCGGAUUGAAGUCUGCAACUCGACUUCAUGAAGUUGGAAUCGCUAGUAAUCGCGAAUCAGCA